AGAUUGAACGCUGGCGGCAUGCCUUACACAUGCAAGUCGAACGGCAGCACGGGAGCAAUCCUGGUGGCGAGUGGCGAACGGGUGAGUAAUAUAUCGGAACGUGCCCAGUCGUGGGGGAUAACGCAGUGAAAGCUGUGCUAAUACCGCAUACGAUCUAUGGAUGAAAGCGGGGGACUCGCAAGAGCCUCGCGCGAUUGGAGCGGUCCGAUAUCA
rnacentral:rRNA from 1 species